rnacentral:rRNA from 1 species
AGAGUUUGAUCCUGGCUCAGGAUGAACGCUGGCGGCGUGCUAACACAUGCAAGUCGAGCGAUCUUCUUCGGAAGAGAGCGGCGGACGGGUGAGUAACGCGUGGGUAACCUGCCUCAUACACAUGGAUAACAUACCGAAAGGUAUGCUAAUACAAGAUGAUAUAAGAGAUUCGCAUGGAUUUCUUAUCAAAGCUCCGGCGGUAUGAGAUGGACCCGCGUCUGAUUAGCUAGUUGGUAAGGUAACGGCUUACCAAGGCGACGAUCAGUAGCCGACCUGAGAGGGUGAUCGGCCACAUUGGAACUGAGACACGGUCCAAACUCCUACGGGAGGCAGCAGUGGGGAAUAUUGCACAAUGGGCGAAAGCCUGAUGCAGCAACGCCGCGUGAGCGAUGAAGGCCUUCGGGUCGUAAAGCUCUGUCCUCAAGGAAGAUAAUGACGGUACUUGAGGAGGAAGCCCCGGCUAACUACGUGCCAGCAGCCGCGGUAAUACGUAGGGGGCUAGCGUUAUCCGGAUUUACUGGGCGUAAAGGGUGCGUAGGUGGUUUCUUAAGUCAGGAGUGAAAGGCUACGGCUUAACCGUAGUAAGCUCUUGAAACUGGGAAACUUGAGUGCAGGAGAGGAAAGUGGAAUUCCUAGUGUAGCGGUGAAAUGCGUAGAUAUUAGGAGGAACACCAGUAGCGAAGGCGGCUUUCUGGACUGUAACUGACACUGAGGCACGAAAGCGUGGGGAGCAAACAGGAUUAGAUACCCUGGUAGUCCACGCCGUAAACGAUGAGUACUAGGUGUCGGGGGUUACCCCCCUCGGUGCCGCAGCUAACGCAUUAAGUACUCCGCCUGGGGAGUACGCUCGCAAGAGUGAAACUCAAAGGAAUUGACGG